UACGUAGGGGGCUAGCGUUGCUCGGAAUUACUGGGCGUAAAGCGCACGUAGGUGGUUUUGUAAGUCUGAUGUGAAAUCCCUGGACUCAAUUCAGGAACUGCAUUGGAUACUGCAAGACUAGAGUAUGGGAGAGGUAGGCGGAAUUCCUGGUGUAGAGGUGAAAUUCGUAGAUAUCAGGAGGAACAACAGAGGCGAAGGCGGCUUACUGGACCAUAACUGACACUGAGAUGCGACAGUGUGGGGAGCAAACAGG
rnacentral:rRNA from 1 species